rnacentral:rRNA from 1 species
GACUGCUAAGACUGGAUAGGAGACAAGAAGGCAUCUUCUUGUUUUUAAAAGACCUAGCAAUAGGUAUGCUUAGGGAGGAGCUUGCGUCACAUUAGUUAGUUGGUGGGGUAAAGGCCUACCAAGACUAUGAUGUGUAGCCGGGCUGAGAGGUUGAACGGCCACAUUGGGACUGAGACACGGCCCAAACUCCUACGGGAGGCAGCAGUAGGGAAUUUUCGGCAAUGGAGGAAACUCUGACCGAGCAACGCCGCGUGAACGAUGAAGUAUUUCGGUACGUAAAGUUCUUUUAUUAGGGAAGAAUAAAUGAUGGAAAAAUCAUUCUGACGGUACCUAAUGAAUAAGCCCCGGCUAACUAUGUGCCAGCAGCCGCGGUAAUACAUAGGGGGCAAGCGUUAUCCGGAAUUAUUGGGCGUAAAGGGUGCGUAGGCGGUUAAAUAAGUUUAUGGUCUAAGUGCAAUGCUCAACAUUGUGAUGCUAUAAAAACUGUUUAGCUAGAGUAAGAUAGAGGCAAGUGGAAUUCCAUGUGUAGUGGUAAAAUGCGUAAAUAUAUGGAGGAACACCAGUAGCGAAGGCGGCUUGCUGGGUCUUUACUGACGCUGAGGCACGAAAGCGUGGGGAGCAAACAGGAUUAGAUACCCUGGUAGUCCACGCCGUAAACGAUGAGUACUAAACGUUGGGUAAAACCAGUGUUGAAGUUAACACAUUAAGUACUCCGCCUGAGUAGUACGUACGCAAGUAUGAAACUUAAAGGAAUUGACGGGACUCCGCACAAGCGGUGGAUCAUGUUGUUUAAUUCGAAGGUACCCGAAAAACCUCACCAGGUCUUGACAUGCUUCUGCAAAGCUGUAGAAACACAGUGGAGGUUAUCAGUUGCACAGGUGGUGCAUGGUUGUCGUCAGCUCGUGUCGUGAGAUGUUGGGUUAAGUCCCGCAACGAGCGCAACCCUUAUUGUUAGUUACCAGCACGUAAUGGUGGGGACUUUAGCAAGACUGCCAGUGAUAAAUUGGAGGAAGGUGGGGACGACGUCAAAUCAUCAUGCCCCUUAUGACCUGGGCUACAAACGUGAUACAAUGGCUGUUACAAAGGGUAGCUGAAGCGCAAGUUUUUGGCGAAUCUCAAAAAAACAGUCUCAGUUCGGAUUGAAGUCUGCAACUCGACUUCAUGAAGUUGGAAUCGCUAGUAAUCGCGAAUCAGACAUGUCGCGGUGAAUACGUUCUCGGGGUUUGUACACACCGCCCGUCAAACCACG